rnacentral:rRNA from 1 species
CCUACGGUAGGCAGCAGUGGGGGAUAUUGCACAAUGGGGGGAACCCUGAUGCAGCGACGCCGCGUGGGUGAAGAAGCGCCUCGGCGCGUAAAGCCCUGUCAGCAGGGAAGAAAAUGACGGUACCUGAAGAAGAAGCCCCGGCUAACUACGUGCAAGCAGCCGCGGUAAUACGUAGGGGGCAAGCGUUAUCAGGAUUUACUGGGUGUAAAGGGGGCGCAGACGGCGAUGCAAGCCAGGAGUGAAAGCCCGGGGCCCAACCCCGGGACGGCUCUUGGAACUGCGUGGCUGGAGUGCAGGAGGGGCAGGAGGAAUUCCGGGGGUAGCGGUGAAAGGCGUAGAGAUUAGGAAGAACACCAGUGGCGAAGGCGGCUUUCUGGACUGAAACUGACGCUGAGGCACGAAAGCGUGGGGAGCGAACAGGAUUAGAUACCCUAGUAGUC